rnacentral:lncRNA from 1 species
AGCUGGCUAAGCGGAGUCUCGACGGACUAAAGGUAUGGGAAAAUGAAGACGUGGACCUACCACGUUCUCUUCUACCUGGAACUUAGGAUUUGUAAAUUGCAUUUAGAUGUCAUUUGUCACAUUGGUAGGCUGUGACUUAAUACACUCACAAAGAGGAUUUUUCCAAGUAUUUAAACUGUGUAGAUGCUGCAAAAAAUCAGACUGAGGCAAAGCCCUGCAGCCAACCCCAGCAGCAAGAGGUGAGGACCCCCUGUCUGUCCUGGGCCCCACUCAGGCACUAUCCUCAUCUCUUAGAAUAGUUUGUUACCUUUUCUUUCCUGAAGCCUCAUCAAAUGCAACUUUUUCUAUGGCAUUCAACGGACUUUAAAGCAAAGAUUACAGAGAAAUUCUUAUGCAAGUCAGAAAAUCUGCUUAUUAUGGGUUUGAUAAACCAAAUUGUGUUACCUGUUUAUAGACAUAGAUUUCUAUCAGCCAGACGUGUGCACAGCACAGCACAAACCAUAGCCACCCCCGUCGAAGUCUCUUUCUGUGCAUUUCCCAGCCACGCCCCCAGCUUGGGCCCCUGGGGUCACCUCCCACUCCGGCUAGAAAGAGAGAAGGAGACAGUGAAUUCCUCGGAAGCCGCUCGCCCUGCACCCAAGCGGGACUUGCACCACAAGCAGCCCCAGGAAAAAACUCUCCAUUUCUUUCUCGUGGAGGCUCCAGAAGAAAAGCUGCGCAUUUACCCGGCGCAUUCUAACCGCCUUUGAGGUUCCCUCCGGCAGCCAUGGGAGCCGUGGUGGGGCAAAGCCUGGGCUGGGAGACGCUGCAAGGCUCUGGGGAGCAGUGAGGCGCCGCGCCAGCUCCUCCGUUCCCGUCAUAGCCUCACACGGGCUUCGCUGGACACGUCCAGGACGCAGCGCCGGUGGGCACCAGGCGUUGAGCGCCUGCCCCGCGUCUGUGCUAAGACCUCCCUUUGUUAAGUGUGAAGCAGAUUUCUCUCCUCAACAGUGAAAGAUGCCCCGAGGUGCUGCAGAGUUAACUCGGAUCCAGGCCCUUCUGGGGGCCAAGCCGCCCGCACCGGGAGAGCUGCGUUUCUUUCUUCAGCGUCCUGCCCUCCGUGGCUGCAGGAUUUUCUUGGAAGGUGAAAGGCAGACAUUUUGGGAGCCACUAACAGACUUCCUGAACCUUCACUGAUGAGGAGUCAAACACUUCUGAGAGAGCGGCCGUGUGAUCCAAAAAGAGGAGCCAGGAUAAAGGAACAGAUGGAGGCAUGAGGUAAGUGCUUCUUAGCACUCGAAGAAUCAGGAAGAUUUUCAGAAACAGGAAUUAGCAAUCUGGAAGGAAAGCUCAGAAUAACACGGUUGUUUCCUGCGCAGUGGAAGGCCUUGGGCUGCGCCUCCCUCCACCUGUGAUCUGCGUUAACGGGCCCCUUGCUGCAGGUGUUGGCAGUGGUAGUUUUCUAGACGGAACCUCACACCCCCGAAUGGCUGUCAGUGUGUGUGUGGAGACUCAGGAGUCACCUGUGCAGGGCUUGUGAGUUUCCUAGAGAAAGAGACGGACCAUGUUCUCAAAACUGUGCCUCGAGUCCACUCCUUCUUCAUGGGUGUGCAGGCGCAAAGCCACAACCUCCACCCUGCUCUCCCUCCUGUGUCUCUUCCCCCGGUGUCUGUGCAAAUACGGGUGUCUUCGUGUCUAAGUGAGAGAGUCUUUGUGGGUCGACAGCACAUCUGAGCUGUUGGUCACCUACAGCGUGCAUAAUGGCUGGCACUGGUCUCCCCUUUCUUGAUAUGGCAGCAGGUAAGCAUCUUCGCUGGAGACACACUGCUGUCAAACGGGAGUAGGACCCCUGGCUCUAGCAGCCCUACUGGCUGGAAUCACCAGCUUUGUGCCUGGAAUUUGGCUGCAGUAAAACACUCUUCUCUCCCGCAGAGAGGGCGGGAUGGUGCCCACAGCCAGGGUGCCAUGCAGCACGUUCUGGUUACACCUGCCCCAGAUCAUCUGUGGAUGGAGUGUGGGUGCUGAUCCUUCAUGGGGGUCCUCCUGGAGGCACUGCUCACAGCAGUGGAUGAGCUCAUUAACUUAAAUGCAUUUCACGGGUCGGUGCUUAGAUUCUCCAACCACGUGACCCUGCUAAUGAAGGCACCCUGCAAUCAGAACAGAAGCUCUGGGUUUGGACUUGAUGACUGUCAUCCAGAGUGAGUGCCAUCACAGGGGAGCAAUGGGCCUCCUUGCAGGGCACCAGGGAAGCGGGACGAUGUCAGAACCAGGAGCCAGUCAGCUCCCACUGCACCUUCUUCUCGCUCGCACAUUCCUGCACCUUUUGCUGGAAGAUAUUUGUCAUUUAGCUACCUGGAAGGGAUGAGAUGAGGACAAAUGGGGCUUAUAAAAGAAAAGUUAAGGCCGGGCGCCAUGGCUCACACCUGUAAUCCCAGCACUUUGGGAGGCCGAGGCAGGGAGAUCACAAGGUCAAGAGAUCGAGACCAUCCUGGCCAACAUGGUGAAACCCCGUCUCUAUGAAAAAUACAAAAAUUAGCUGGGUGUGGUGGCACGUGCCUGUAGUCCCAGCUACUUGGGAGGAUGAGGCAGGAGAAUCACUGGAACCCGAGAGGCGGAGGUUGCAGUGAGCCGAGACUGCGCCACUGCACUCCAGCCUGGGUGACAGAACGAGACUCCAUCUCAAAAAAAAAAAAAAAAGAAAAGAGAAAGAAAAGUUAAACUGCUUUUUUCUUUCCUGUACUGGUUGGCUUUCUAGCUGACUGGUCUCCGGUCAGUGAAUGGGUGCUGAGCUGCCACGAUGGGUGUUUACCCCCCAUUCAAUCAUCCUGCCACCCGCUGUGUUCCUUUGAACGCUCCCUUUCCCCUUCAUCCAGGCUCUGAUGGUGAGACUUCCUCUUAACCAGAAUCCAGAAUGGUGGAGCGAAUCUCCCAAAACCAUUCAGCACUAGCCCAGUGGUCCCUCAGAAACCCUCGUUUUGUAGGGACAGCCUCAGCCUUAAGGACCCCCAACAGUCUCAGAAUCAGAGGGGGUGCCUGGUCUCCCUCUGGGGGUGCUGCCAUCCUCACCUGGGAGCCAGGGGCAGCCUGCAGCUCCACUCUCAGUGGAGGCAGCACGGAGUCAUUGUGACGCAGAGUGAGGACACAGCCCUUGCCCUGUAACUCACGUGUUGAGAAUUUUACAGAUUAUAAGGCCACGUCUCUACAUCAGAGCUUCCACUCAGCCCUGGGGAGACCCUGCUGCUGGGGCCAGAUCCAGCAUGAGUGCCCACUCAGCACCCUGCAGCCAGGGGAGGCAGCAAGACUAAGCAGAAUCCCAUGGGCUCAGGCCAGUGGUUCUAGGAGCAAUGAUCCGGGGCUCCCUCAAUAUCUAAGAACAGAGAAUCCCCCACAUCACCAAAGGAAGGCAGUGCUGGCUUCGGAGCUUCUGUGCAUUGGGCACAGAAAAGAAGGCAUGGUUUCCCUGCUCCUGCUUUUCGAGGGGGUCACCCAAGACCUGGCACAGUCCCCAUUGUCCCUGAGGGAGGAGACAAAGCUUCACGCUGAGCACUUCCCAGCUAUGUGCACUAGUGCGUGGCCCACCUCCUGACCCCACAGGCCAGAACAUGGGAAAAGUCGGUAUCAGGCAAGGGGUGUUUCCUCCCCAGAAGUGGAAUGACGAGCGUGCCAUUUGGCUCAAGAGUUUCAGGGCUGCAGUUGACUGAGGUUAUCUGUGGACUUCAUCACUGCUGUUGCCAACUGAGAAUGUUUUGCAAGCUUGACUUUCACUGAUCACUUAAUAUCAGACUUUCUGGGCCAACAGUGAAUAAGAAGCUUUAAAUGAGAAAUCACUUUCUGUGUUUUUGAAGAUGUUAUUUUGUUCUGAGUUUAAAUGAACUCUUUUGACAUUUGGUUCAGCAGAGAGGAAGCAGAGAUGUGUGACAGGACAACAAAUCUUGGGGCCCCAAAAUCACUAAGCUAAAGGGAAAAGUCAAGCUGGGAACUGCUUAGGGCCAACCUGCCUCCCACUCUAUUCAAAGUCACCCUCUGCGGCUGGGCGCAGUAUCUCACGCCUGUAAUCCCAGUACUUUGGGAGGCCAAGGCAGGCAGAUCACCUGGGGUCAGGAGUUCGAGACCAGCCUGAACAACAUGGUGAAACCCCAUCCCUACUAAAAACACAAAAAAUUGGCCGGGCAUGGUGGCGGGCACUGUAGUCCCAGCUACUCAGAAGGCUGAGGCAGGAGAAUCACUUGAACCCGGGACACGGAGGUUGCAGUAAGCUAAGAUCGCACCAUUGCACUCCAGCCUGGGUGACAGAGCAAGACUCUGUCUCAAACAACAACAACAAUGAUGACGAAGCAAAGUCAUCCCUCUGCUCCCUGAGAUAAAUGCAGAUCUGAUUGCCUCCUUUGGAGAGGUUCAUCAGAAACUCAAAACAAUGCAACCAUUUGUCUCUUAUCUACCCCUGACCGGAAGCUCCCUGCCUGCUUCCAGUCUUCCCGCCUUUGCUUCCGGUUGUCCCACCUUUCCGGACCAAACCAAUGCUCAUCUUGCAUAUAUUGAUUGAUGUCUCAUGUCUCCCUAAAAUGUAUAAAACCAAGCUGUGCUAGGACCACCCUGAGUACCUGUGGUCAGGACCUCCUGAGGCUGUGUCAUGGGUGCACGUCCUUAACUGUGGCAAAAUAAACUUCCUAAAUUCACUGAGACCUGUCUCAGUUAUUCAGCAUUCAUGGAUGUGUGAUGUCUCCUGGGUUCUCUGCGUUCCUACUCACCCCCUCCCCACGCCUCUCCACUGGUCUUGCUAGAUGAUAAAUGAUUGGCCUGCUCUAAGUCAGAAUUUGCUCCCAGCCUCUGAGAGUUCCUCCCUCUCAUCCACAUGCACACUCUGAACUGAAUGAGAGUGCCAGGACCUUCCCCCUGUUGUGUGGCAGUCUGUAAUAGCAGUGUGCCAUCUGCACCAUCCGGGGAAUCGAUU